GCUGUGAUGGCUGAGUGGGCAAAGCGUUAGAUUUGAACUCCAAUGGGGUUUCCCCGCGCAGGUUCAAAUCCUGCUCACAGUG